UAACAAGUUGUAAAAUGCAGCGUGUACACUCUAAAAGGUGCAUUGCUGUGCACAAAACAACAGAUUUUAAAACAGAAUGCAUCUGCAGUUGAAUUGUGUUUAUCAGAAGUGUAACCAGACUAGUAGAAGUCUACCAGGAACUAACAUCACCACUCUGUUCAUCUUGGGAGAGGAAAGUAGACAGGAGUGUAGUCAGGGGAUGCUGUAGAAACUAAAAUGGGAAAACUAUGAAGUUGAGUGAAGUUCAAUCUCGUGUUUCUCUUCAUAGGUGGAAAUGUCUUCUGUGUGGCAGCUGCACACCCACUUACACUCAUAGCUUAGAGGAACAUUGCUGGCCACCUGUUCACUCACAUAUCAGUAGAAUUCACAUGGGAUAGGGAGGUUAACUAUGGUGAUUCAGGGAAAUUCUAGCUGCAAUAUCCCAUCAAAUCAAAUGAAGAGAAUGUAUUGCUCACAUACACAUGUUUAGCAAAUGUUAUUGUGGGUGUAGUGAAAUGCUUGUGUUUCUAGCUCCAGCAGUGCAGUAAUAUCUAACAAUUCACAACAAUAUUCACAAUACACACACAUCUAAAAGUAAAAUAAUGUAAUUAAGGAAAAUAUAAAUAUUAGGAUGAGCAAUAUCAGAGUGGCAUUGACUAAAAUACAGUAGAAUAGAAUACAGUAUUUACAUAUGAGUAAGUAAGUAAAGCAGUAUGUAAACAUGAUUAAAGUGACUAGUGUUCCAUGUCUAUGUAAAUGGGGCAGCAGCCUCUAAGUGGCAGGGUUAUGUAACCGGGUGUAGGUCGGUUAGUGAUGGCUAUUUAACAGUCUGAUGGCCUUGAGAUAGAAGCUGUUUUUCAGUCUCUCGGUCCCAGCUUUGAUGCACCUGUACUGACCUCGCCUUCUGGAUGGUAGCGUUGUGAACAGGCAGUGGCUCUGGUGGUUGUUGUCCUUGAUGAUCUUUUUUGGCCUUCCUGUAACAUCGGGUGCUUCCGGUGUCCUGGAGGACAGGUAGUUUGUCCCCGGUGAUGCGUUGGGCAGCCUGGAUUAGUAUGCAUAAAUGCACCCUGGGUUUUGAAGGGGGUGGAGACCAAAAUAUUGAGGGGGUGGAGACCAGAGUAACCAGACUAGCAGAGAUGUACCAGCAACUAACAUCGUCACUCUGUUCAUCUGGAGAGAGGAAAGUAGACAGAAAAUCUGAUCACGAUGGAUUACAUCAAGCCAGCAUUUGACAUUCUGUUAGAACAAGUAAGAAAAUCAGGCAGUUUUUACAUGAUCUUCUUUGCUCUUUUUCUGUACCACAUUAUGUUUGAUGGCCACUUAAAAUGCUCUUGUGAAGAUGGUGUUAAAAAGUGGUUACCCUCAACACUGUAUCUACUACAUGGUGUUUACAGCUGUGAUCUUGAUUUUCUUGACUCUCUGGAUGGACAGAGAGUUUCAACGAGUCUUGAGAAUGACAUGCAGAUGCAGAUGUGAUUUGUGUGGAAGACUGUUGGGAUUAUUAAUUAAGGCAGUCUCUAAAGGGUUGCUGUGGGUUGUGAGUGUGCUUUUUGAUGGGGACUGGUACGUGUGCUAUCAAAGACCAACGUAUCACUGCAGAUACAACACUGAUAAGACACCAUUCAAAGAAGACCUAGAUAAGCAAACUGAUAUCAAAGUGUUCUCCAUGGCUUGCGGCUCUGGACUGGUUCUGUUUCUACUUGUUGGGAAUUCCAUUCUGACUGCAGUACCUUGGAGGGAUAUCUGUUGUAUCAUUUGUAGAUCUUGCAAGUGUGUCAGACCUUAUCACAGGGAACUAUUUGAGGAGAAUAUUUGGGAAGAGACAGAAAUUCUUAUUGAAAAAGACUUAAAGAGAACAGCUCAGGAGAGUGUAGUUCUUAAAAGCAGAGGACUACUACCACCCCUUCCGAAUGCAGCCCAAGGAACCAUACAGGGAGGCGGCGACACCACCCAUCCUAAGGUGGAAGACAGAGUGAUCACCCUUAACAACCUUCAUUUUGACAUUAUAUCUGAUCUAGAUAAUGUUAUAAUUGAUCAGAUCAAUACUAUGUACCAGAACCCUGACCCUAACCCUAACCCUAACCAGAACCGUAACCCUAUCAGGUUUUCAAAUCUAUGUUCUUGUUUCUCAGGAAACAUCAGACCACAAACAAAUGAAACAGAACUCAUUAACAGAACCUAGUAACAUAAUCCACCAAUGAUGUAGACAUUAAUACUAUCAUACUAUCAUACUAUCAUACUAUCUUAUGUGAACCGUUUGUGAAAACUAGCUUUCAAGCGACCCUGUGUAUAUAAGGCUUCUUCUGUCUCACAAUAAACUGUGUUUCUGGUUAAGGUGGCAGCAAUAGUUUGGUACAAUACAACUAGAAUGGGUUAUAUGAGGGGAGUGAACAACUGUGGGUGAUAAACCUCAACAACGACCCUGUAUAAGCUUUCAUAAUGUCACAGGGUGGAAAUGUAAGCCGGGUGGCAAACAUGAGUCUGUUAGACAACAGUGAUGGUUGACAGAGCUGUUCUAGGUCAUCUUUAUUUCUAGACUAUAAACAAUAUACCCUUCAUUAAUGAAUAUGUGUUAAUAUAACCAGUGAAUUAUUGUUUUUGUCCUUGAUGCUACAAUUCAUAUGUUGUUACUAUUGAUUGUGUUCUGUCUUUAUGUCUACCUUUAACAAAAAAUUAAGAAUAUAUAAUAAUACUAACCAUCUGUAUCUCCUCCUGUCUUCAAUGUACCACAGCUGUUCACUCUGCAAUACUACACUUGUUCACGCUGUUCAUUUUGAUACGUCUCUAAAAUAAAAAUAAUAGUUGUAA